CCAUCGAUAGCUCAGCUGGUAGAGCAGAGGACUGUAGGUGUAAUACAGCAGUUCUUAGGUCGCUGGUUCAAUUUCGGCUCAAAGGA
rnacentral:tRNA from 1 species